GUGGGGGGGGGGGGGGUAGGGUGGGGGGUGGGAGGGGGGGAGGGGCGGGAGGGAGAGGGGGAGAGGAAAUUUAUAGGAUAGGGGUGAACUACGUAGAUGUAAGAAGGAACACGGAGGGCGAGGGCGUUCACUUGACUAUUUGCUGACACUAAGGCACGAAAGGGUGGGGAGCGAAGGGGAUUAGAUCCCCCGGUAGCCCACGCCGAAAACUAUGGAUGCUAGCUGUUAGAAGUAUCGCCCCUUCUAGUAGCGAAGCUAACGCGUUAAGCAUCCCGCCUGUGGAGUACGGCCGCAAGGCUAAAACAUAAAGGAAUUGACGGGGACCCGCACAAG
rfam:Bacterium G20 isolate G20 NODE_86_length_1063_cov_0.36859, whole genome shotgun sequence.